UACGUAGGUGGCAAGCGUUGUCCGGAAUUACUGGGUGUAAAGGGAGCGCAGGCGGGAAGCCAAGUCAGCUGUGAAAACUACGGGCUUAACUUGUAGACUGCAGUUGAAACUGGUUUUCUUGAGUGAAGUAGAGGUUGGCGGGAUUCCGAGUGUAGCGGUGAAAUGCGUAGAUAUUCGGAGGAACACCGGUGGCGAAGGCGGCCAACUGGGCUUUAACUGACGCUGAGGCUCGAAAGUGUGGGGAGCAAACAGG
rnacentral:rRNA from 1 species